CCUACGGGAGGCAGCAGUAGGGAAUCUUUCACAAUGGGCGAAAGCCUGAUGGAGCAACGCCGCGUGAAGGAUGAAGGCCUUCGGGUUGUAAACUGCUUUUAUAAGCGAGAAAUAUGAUGGUAACUUAUGAAUAAGGAUCGGCUAACUACGCGCCAGCAGCCGCGGUCAUACGUAGGAGCCGAGCAUUAUCCGGAGUAACUGGGUGUAAAGAGUUGCGUAGGUGGCAUAAUAAGUAGCUGUUGAAACCGGGUGGCUCUACCAUUAGAACUAUUAGCGAAAUUGUUAAGCUCGAGACCGUGAGGGGUAUCUGGAAUGUCUAGUGUAGGAGUGAAAUCCGUAGAUAUUAGAAGGAACACCGAUAGCGUAGGCAGGAUGCUGGGACGGUUCUGACACUAAGGCACGAAAGCGUAGGGAGCAAACGGGAUUAGAUACCCCUGUAGUC
rnacentral:rRNA from 1 species